rnacentral:lncRNA from 1 species
UCCCCCACCCCUGCCCGGACACUUCUCUGUCUCAUCCAGGGACAUUCCUAACUCAGGCCUCAUUCCGACCUCGCCAUUUCUCUCCUAGACCAAAGAGGUCUCCCAGCCUCCAUUCUCACCUCGCUGGUCCACCCUCCCCGGACUGUCUAUGGCCUCCUGACUGUGCCGCUCCCUGCCUACACCCUCUGUGGCUCCCACAGGCCUCGAGAAGAAGCCCAGGCGUGGGCAGGGUGAUCCGCCACGUAGCCGCUCUGAGCCUCAGUGUCCUGAUCCGUAAAGAAGCAACAAUAGAAGGCCCGAUCCCCGGAGUUUCUAUGGAAUUUAAGUUGCCCUCGCAGGGGCCAAGCUGGGAGCCAACGCACGGGAGAUCCCGGAACGCCGAGCUGCUGUCAGCACCACGAUGACAGCCCCUUCGUGCCCGGCUGCCCCACUCCC